rnacentral:rRNA from 1 species
UACGUAGGUGGCGAGCGUUGUCCGGAUUUACUGGGCGUAAAGGGCGUGCAGGCGGUUUGUUAAGUGCAGGGUGAAAGCUCCCGGCUCAACUGGGAGAGGUCCUUGCAUACUGGCGAACUCGAGGGAGGCAGAGGAAAGUGGAAUUCCCGGUGUAGUGGUGAUAUGCGUAGAUAUCGGGAGGAACACCUGUGGCGAAGGCGGGUCUCUGGACAGUUCCUGACGCUGAGGCACGAAGGCCAGGGGAGCAAACGGG